rnacentral:rRNA from 1 species
AUGCAAGUCGAACGCGUUGGCCCAAUUGAUUGAUGGUGCUUGCACCUGAUUGAUUUUGGUCGCCAACGAGUGGCGGACGGGUGAGUAACACGUAGGUAACCUGCCCAGAAGCGGGGGACAACAUUUGGAAACAGAUGCUAAUACCGCAUAACAACGUUGUUCGCAUGAACAACGCUUAAAAGAUGGCUUCUCGCUAUCACUUCUGGAUGGACCUGCGGUGCAUUAGCUUGUUGGUGGGGUAACGGCCUACCAAGGCGAUGAUGCAUAGCCGAGUUGAGAGACUGAUCGGCCACAAUG